GAUCAUGGCUCAGGAUGAACGCUAGCUACAGGCUUAACACAUGCAAGUCGAGGGGCAGCAUUUUAGUUUGCUUGCAAACUGAAGAUGGCGACCGGCGCACGGGUGAGUAACACGUAUCCAACCUGCCGAUAACUCCGGGAUAGCCUUUCGAAAGAAAGAUUAAUACCGGAUAGCAUACGAAUAUCGCAUGAUAUUUUUAUUUAAAGAAUUUACGGUUUAUCGAUGGGGAGUGCGUUCCUAUUAG
rnacentral:rRNA from 1 species